AAACACAGGAUUGUAGUGUCAGAGAGAAAAAAAAUAGACUCCAAAAAUCACUUUCAACUCAGAGAUACACAAUGGCAAAAGCUUCAAUGUUGUUUCCUUGCUUAAUAGUUUUAUUUCUCAUAACAUAUGCAACAGGUUUUGUGGAUGCAUGUAACUACCCGUGCAAAUUCCCAAGUGAUUGUAAUAAUUUACGAUGUCUUCGCCCUGAUUGCAAAAAGUAUUGCCUCAAUGGAUGUUGCCUUUGCAAUUGUCGUCUUAUUCCACCUAGUGGAAAUGUUUGAUAAAGAAUUAUAAUAAAAGAAAGUUGAGUCUUUCAUGAUUCAAAUUAAGAUGCAAAAAUUUCCAUGACUUUGUUGUGGGAUUUAUUUGUAAUAAUAGAGUUGAAAUAAUAACGUCUUUAAUUCUUCGUCAACAA